UACGAGGGGGGCAAGCGGUUGUUCGGAAUUACUGGGCGUAAAGGGCUCGUAGGCGGCCAACUAAGUCAGACGUGAAAUCCCUCGGCUUAACCGGGGAACUGCGUCUGAUACUGGAUGGCUUGAGUUUGGGAGAGGGAUGCGGAAUUCCAGGUGUAGCGGUGAAAUGCGUAGAUAUCGGGAGGAACAUCAGUGGCGAAGGCGGCAUCCUGGACCAACACUGACACUGAGGAGCGAAAGCCAGGGGAGACAAAGCGGG
rnacentral:rRNA from 1 species